ensembl:lncRNA
CAAUGCUUCUCGUGAUGUAAGUUACCUCUUCCUCGGGUUCGGUUCACGACAGUUACUUUACUGCCUUUCAGGCUCAUGGUUCAAAUCCCUGCUACAGUUGAACCACACAUGCGCUAAGGUUUUUUUCUUUAUGGGAGUUGCCAAGAUACAGCCUCCAUAGUUGGACACUUCUGGAGUUGCGGGAACGGUCCAAAUCGUAACUCAGCAGAGGUUCAAAUCCGAAGAGCGUCAUAAACAGCAAGUGAGAGUAAGAAAGCUGUGAGGUGCCUUUUUCUUUUUCUUUCCAAGUUGCAAAGUCACAGCAGAUGCCGUGUGUGAUUUGCCGAGGCCUAUCCCAUGUAAUAUGUGAGUUUCAUACUUUUAGAAAGUUAUCUCAGUCUGAAUGGCAUUUGGAGCCAUCCGGGUUCCAAAAAGCAGCUUAUAAUGCAAGUCUCCUUUACUUUGAACGUACCAUUGCAGACGUUUAUCUUUCGGUUCAAGUCUUUGAUUAGUUUCACAAAAGUUAAACCAUACAAUUCAAACGCUGCAACCUUUUAUUGUCAGAAUGUCAUCUUUCUCGCCGUGUGCUGCAACCUCUCCCCUCAUCCCACCAAUCUGGAUGUUAGCAUUCAUCGCGGCGGUUGACAGCUUGUGGUCUUUCCUCUCCGGCCUGGACUGUGUCCCACGUGUUGCUGCUUCCACCUGCUGGGUUACUGGUGCAUCACAACAUGAAAUAAAAAGCAAAUAGCUGAAGAGAACCACCAUUGUGCUUGUAGUCAGAGCACUUUUAUUUUUAUUUUUUAAUGUUAAAUAACUUCCUCGUAAUUGUCUAAUAACUAAUGAAUUUGAGAAAUA